rnacentral:misc_RNA from 1 species
CUCUAAAGUGCAUGGAUCAGAUGAUCUCAACUACUUUAGAGUUCUAUCAUAACCUUAAGAGGUCUCGUUUACUACCUCCCUUGCUAAUGGCAUGCAUUCUCACAAUUUCAAAUUUAACCUCAAAAUAUAUAUGCUUUAAAAGCAAAAAUAAGGUUACAGUUGCUACCAAAGGUGUACUGAGUAAAUAAGAUCUCCAUCAUUUUAAAGAUUCCAAAGGUUCCUUCUCUUCUUCCAUGUGAACAAGCUUGCCCUCUAUAAACUCACAAGCAAGAAUAGGCAUCCCAAGCUGCUUUUGCACCUUUUUCACAAUAAACAUUUCUGGCGCCUCACAAAUGGUUACCACAGUGCCCUUCCUGCCAAGCCGACCCGUCCUGCCAGCUCGAUGUGCAUAAUGAAUUGAGUCUGUAGGCAAGUCCAGAUUAACAACGAGAUCGCAUUCUGGCACAUCCAAACCCCUUGCUGAUAGUUCAUUUGUUACUAGAACUCUCACCUCGCCAUUUUUAAACUUCUUUAGAAUGGUAGACCUAGCAAGCUUGCCAAGAUCUCCAUGUAAUUCUGCAGCUUUUAUCCCACGAGCCUCCAGCUUGAAGACAGCAUCUUUUAGUUGCUUGCUGUGGUUCAUAAAAGCUAUCACAGACUUGGCAUCAAGCGCAUGAACACAUCUUCUCAAAGUGUCAACCUUGUGUUGUAAC